rnacentral:rRNA from 1 species
CUGCCCAGUGAUACAGAUUAAACGGCCGCGGUACUCUGACCGUGCAAAGGUAGCAUAAUAAUUUGCCUCCUAAUUAGAGGCUGGUAUGAAAGGAUUUACGAAAGUAUAGCUGUCUCUACUAAAAAUAUAAAAACUAAACAUCAGGUGAAGAUGCCUGAAUUUAACUAAAGGACAAAAAGACCCUGUUGAGCUUCAUCUACAAAAAUUCAUUGAAUUUCACAAGAUUUCGUUGGGGCGACUAAGGAAAAAACAAAGCUUCCUUACAAAAAAGAACUUAAUUCACACCAAUGACCUGCAUAAAGCAAUCAACAAAAAAGCUACCACAGGGAUAACAGACUAAUCCUCCUCAAGAGUCCAAAUUGACAGGAGGAUUUGGCACCUCGAUGUUGGCUUAAGGUCUCCUUUAAGUGCAGCAACUUAAAUGGUGGGUUUGUUCAACCCUUAAAACCUUACGUGAUCUGAG